GCCACUGAGACCGUCACUCCAGAAGCCACUGAGACCGUCACUCCAGAAGCCACUGAGACCACAGGCUCAUCAAAAGCCACAAGACCCCGGGGCCAGAAGGCAAAAAAAAGACAAAAUCCAGUCCAACAGAGGGUAGCCAGCAAUAUGAAGC